AGAGAGAGAGAGAGAAAAGAAGAGAGAAUUAUGAGAACGUUCGCUACGGCCUACGCUACGUUAUGAUCCAUUAUUCGUUUUUUUUGAAUGUUUUAAACAAAAAUUUGUUUUUCUUUGUGCCUUUUAGUGGUGAGAUCCCCGCGGAAGCCCGUGACGCCGACAACACCCGAAGGUAAUUGUAAUUAGGAAUUGAAGGCCGCAAGGAGUCAAGCGCGCAGUUGGUCAGUUAGGCCACGUCUAUAUGUUAAUGGCACCAUUAUCACCGUUGAAAAUGGCUGACUACAGACUGGCUUCUCUCGAGGGAUUGAAUCAUGUUUGCAGUAAGAAAAUCGACUGGCCCACCGCGACUAUACACAUCACCGAGAAUCCCAUAUCGGAGGCGGUCGUUUGUUAAAUUUUCCUCGGAAAUUAAUUGCCAUUGAUUGUUUUCGAACGAAAAAGCAUGCAAGAACUUAAAG